rnacentral:snoRNA from 1 species
GGCUCGCGCAAUUCCAAACCUGACAGUGGUUCUGGUUUGCUGUCAGCCUCAUAGAGCAAAAGCGAGGGUUUAUUCACUGAAAAGGUGAAGCCGUUUCCUUUUUUCCUUGCCUCCCUCACACUC